CUGUAUCAUGUGAUGGCUCCGGUGAUGUUGGAGGCGGCAUGUGACUCCCAGGGCUACGUGGGCUCAAAAACAAUUUAAAUACAAAAACACACGCAGGUUCCCCUCCUUCCCUUUGCCUUUUGGUCUGGCUCUCUCUACCUUUGCGUUGGUGCCUGACCGAAUGGAAAACCCUUCUUCGUUUUGCAGCCUGUGAGCUCCGGGUACCUGGAGACAAGGCCCCUGUGCUGCCCCCACCCCAGGAGCCGUCCCCCCAGCAUUCUGCAGUCCUCUGACUAUCAGCCUGGUGUGGACACUGAGGCCCAGAGAGGUGAUGUGAUUUGCCUAAAGUCAUGCAACUAGUGGCAGAGCCCAGCCUAGAAGCCAGGUGUCCUGGAUCUCAAGAUACUCCACUGCCUGAGGAAUGGAACAGGGUCUCUCUAAAUAGCCUGGCUGGCCUGGGAGUUGAUUUGUAUACUGGGAUGGUCUCCAACUCACAGAGAUCCACCUGCUUCUGCCUCCUGAGUGUUUGAAUUAAAAGUGUGCUCCACUAUACCUGGAUCAUUGUUCUUUUUUUGAGUCAGAGCCUCACUCUGUAGCUU
rnacentral:lncRNA from 1 species